CUUUGUACACACCGCCCGUCACACCAUGGGAGCUGACUCAACCAGAAAACGGCCUAGCUAACCGCAAGGGGGCUAUCGUUGAAGGUGGGGUUGGUGACUGGGGUG
rnacentral:rRNA from 1 species